rnacentral:rRNA from 1 species
UACAGAGGUCCCAAGCGUUGUUCGGAUUCACUGGGCGUAAAGGGUGCGUAGGCGGUCUGACAAGUCUGAUGUGAAAUCUUCGAGCUUAACUCGGAAAUGGCAUUGGAAACUGCUGGACUAGAGGAUUGGAGGGGAGACUGGAAUUCUCGGUGUAGCAGUGAAAUGCGCAGAUAUCAGGAGGAACACCAAUUGCGAAGGCAGCUCGCUGGGACGUUACUGACGCUGAGACGCGAAAGCGUGGGGAGCAAACAGG